rnacentral:rRNA from 1 species
UCUAUACUGUGAAACUGCGAAUGGCUCAUUAAAUCAGUUAUCGUUUAUUUGAUAGUACCUUACUACUUGGAUAACCGUGGUAAUUCUAGAGCUAAUACAUGCUAAAAACCUCGACUUCGGGAGGGGUGUAUUUAUUAGAUAAAAAACCAAUGCCCUCCGGGGCUCCUUGGUGAUUCAUAAUAACUUAACGAAUCGCAUGGCCUUGUGCCGGCGAUGGUUCAUUCAAAUUUCUGCCCUAUCAACUUUCGAUGGUAGGAUAGUGGCCUACCAUGGUUUCAACGGGUAACGGGGAAUUAGGGUUCUAUUCCGGAGAGGGAGCCUGAGAAACGGCUACCACAUCCAAGGAAGGCAGCAGGCGCGCAAAUUACCCAAUCCCGACACGGGGAGGUAGUGACAAUAAAUACUGAUACAGGGCUCUUUUGGGUCUUGUAAUUGGAAUGAGUACAAUUUAAAUCCCUUAACGAGGAACAAUUGGAGGGCAAGUCU